rnacentral:misc_RNA from 1 species
UGGCUCUCGCAUCGAUGAAGAACGCAGCAAAACGCGAUAUGUAAUGUGAAUUGCAGAAUUCAGUGAAUCAUCGAAUCUUUGAACGCACCUUGCGCCUUUUGGUAUUCCGAAAGGCAUGCCUGUUUGAGUGUCAUGAUAAACCUCAACCUCCCCUGGGUUUUGCGACCUGGGGUAGGCUUUGGAGCUUGGGCGUCUGCCGGUCACACGGCUCGCCUCAAAUGACUUAGCGGGACUGACAUCCCAUGGCUCUGACGUGAUAAGUUUCGUCUGGUCCAGGUGUCGGCGUCUGCUCAGAACCCCCCACAUACCUUCAUGAUCUGACCUCAAAUCAGGUAGGGCUACCCGCUGA